CCAGGCUCAAAAACCUUUGUAGUCUAAAUUAGAUUUAAACACAGUCAUCUGAAUAGCUAGAUACUGUUAGAGGAAGAAAUAUGGAACAAAUACUAAAUGUAUAUAUAUGUAUAUAUAAAUAUUUUCCAUUUGAAAUGGGUUACUUGUUAGGUAAACUAAAUAGUUGAAAUGUAACUUUAAUUUUGAUUGAGCUCUAGAUCUGUGCAGGUGAGCAGCCAAUCGAGCGUAAUUAGGUCAAGUUGACUCCGCCCACCGAGAGAUGCGGCAUUAGAGAGAGAGAAAAAAACUUGAGAAACAACGUGAAUUAGAAGCUGCGUAAGAUCUUGAUUUAUUUCAUUUUGAGAGAGAACGCAUGUGAAAACCAAACAUUGUAAGUUAUUUUGCAGACAUUUUGUUGAUAAAUAAGUUUUAUUUCAAACUACUCACUUACUUACAUUUUGUUGAUUAUGUGACCGUCGUCACGCUGAAUUCCAGUGGAGUAGGCCAUCAUUGCGUCAUCCGAGAGAAACCUGGAAAAAAACAGAGAAAUAUCAUUAAUACACGAGGGAAUCGGCCAGUUUUGUUAUUUUAGAAAUCUAGAAUCUGGAUUUUUUCAAUUCAUGAAGAUGGCGAGCCAACCGUAAAUCGAUCAGAAACAACUAUCCUUUGUCUUUUUGGACAUCUGUAUCACUUCACUUUCGGCAGGACAUCGCGUCGGAUUUUUUUCUUUUGAGGUUUGAAACAUCUGACAUUUUCAUUUUUCCUUUUGAGCAUUGGAUCACUGAUUUAAAGGAACUGAGGAGACAAUAUCAUUCUUUAUUGUUCAGACUGACAUUUUGUUUGAACUGUGCAUUCAAGAAUUACUGAUACUGCAUUGAUACGCAUUCAUUUAGACUUUGUUUCGUAUAAACAAGUGUUUACAGUGGACAUUUGUACGUGUGACUAAACACAAGUCCUGACAUUCGUGUUUAUUUUAUAUCUACUGAUCUUGAGUAUACAUUUGAGUUGUGUACAUAAAAAAGGAGAUCAGAAAUUGAAUGUUUAUUACAAUUUAAUUUGCAUUGGAGGGAAGAAUUUUCUAUGUCAAGGGUUAAAUUUCAAAUUCAUUUAGCUUAAUUGGUAAAAAGUAAUAUUUAAAGCAGAUUUAAUAUUUCUUUUUUUGGUUUUAUUUUUUUUGUUUGUUCUUGUUAUUUUUGCCCUUUAUGCAGUGUCAUUGAUAUUUUUUUUUCCCAACCAGUGUAUCCUAUCAAUCGCGCUUACAAGUCAAUUUUAUCCAAUAUAAAGGUGCGCAUUUACAUCUA